UGUAAGACUGGGAUAACUCCGGGAAACCGGGGCUAAUACCGGAUGGUUGUAUGAACCGCAUGGUUCAGACAUAAAAGGUGGCUUCGGCUACCACUUACAGAUGGACCCGCGGCGCAUUAGCUAGUUGGUGAGGUAACGGCUCACCAAGGCGACGAUGCGUAGCCGACCUGAGAGGGUGAUCGGCCACACUGGGACUGAGACACGGCCCAGACUCCUACGGGAGGCAGCAGUAGGGAAUCUUCCGCAAUGGACGAAAGUCUGACGGAGCAACGCCGCGUGAGUGAUGAAGGUUUUCGGAUCGUAAAGCUCUGUUGUUAGGGAAGAACAAGUGCCGUUCAAAUAGGGCGGCACCUUGACGGUACCUAACCAGAAAGCCACGGCUAACUACGUGCCAGCAGCCGCGGUAAUACGUAGGUGGCAAGCGUUGUCCGGAAUUAUUGGGCGUAAAGGGCUCGCAGGCGGUUUCUUAAGUCUGAUGUGAAAGCCCCCGGCUCAACCGGGGAGGGUCAUUGGAAACUGGGGAACUUGAGUGCAGAAGAGGAGAGUGGAAUUCCACGUGUAGCGGUGAAAUGCGUAGAGAUGUGGUGGAACACCCGUGGUGAAGGCGACUCUCUCGUCUGUAACUGACGUUGCGGCGGGAAGCAAGCUGCCAUGA
rnacentral:rRNA from 1 species